UACGAAGGGGGCUAGCGUUGCUCGGAAGGACUGGGCGUAAAGGGCGCGUAGGCGGAUGACACAGUCAGAUGUGAAAUUCCCGGGCUUAACCUGGGGGCUGCAUUUGAUACGUGUUGUCUAGAGUGAGGAAGAGGGUUGUGGAAUUCCCAGUGUAGAGGUGAAAUUCGUAGAUAUUGGGAAGAACACCGGUGGCGAAGGCGGCAACCUGGUCCUUGACUGACGCUGAGGCGCGAAAGCGUGGGGAGCAAACAGG
rnacentral:rRNA from 1 species